UACGGAGGGUGCAAGCGUUAUCCGGAUUUACUGGGUUUAAAGGGUGCGCAGGCGGAUAUGUAAGUCAGUGGUGAAAUCUCUGGGCUUAACCCGGAAAUUGCCAUUGAUACUAUAUAUCUUGAAUGCUGUGGAGGUAAGCGGAAUAUGUCAUGUAGCGGUGAAAUGCUUAGAUAUGACAUAGAACACCUAUUGCGAAGGCAGCUUACUACGCAGAUAUUGACGCUCAUGCACGAAAGCGUGGGGAUCAAACAGG
rnacentral:rRNA from 1 species